rnacentral:rRNA from 1 species
UACGUAGGGGGCUAGCGUUGUCCGGAAUCAUUGGGCGUAAAGAGCGUGUAGGCGGCCCGGUAAGUCCGCUGUGAAAACCCAGGGCUCAACCCUGGGCCUGCAUUCGAUACGGGCAGACUAGAGUUCGGUAGGGGGAGACUGGAAUUCCUGGUGUAGCGGUGAAAUGCGCAGAUAUCAGGAGGAACACCGGUGGCGAAGGCGGGUCUCUGGGGCCGAAACUGACGCUGAGGAGCGAAAGCGUGGGGAGCAAACAGG